GCAAAGUGUCGCUUAAGUUUGUACUCCCGAAACUAAGUGAGCUACUUUAAAACAGCCAUAAGAGCCAACUCGUCUCUGUCGCAAAAGAGUGAGAAGAUUUUUAAGUAGAAGUGACAAGCCUAUCGAACUUAGAGAUAGCUGGUUAUUUGGGAAAAGAAUAUUAGUUCUGCCUUAAGUUAACAACAACAAAUCCUAUAAAGUAACUUAAGAGUUAUUCAAAUAAGGUACAGCCUAUUUGAAACAGGAAACAACCUAAAAUAUAGGGUAAAGCCCACCAACUCCGUAACCAAGUUGGCCUAAGAGCAGCCACCUUUUAAAAAGCGUCAAAGCUUAAUUACUUUAUUCUAGUAAUUACAAUAAAAACGCUAAACCCUCAUACAAUACCAAAUAAUUUUAUAAAAAUUAUAAAAAAUAUAAUGCUAAAACUAGUAAUAAGAAAAAGACUUUCUCCUAAAUAU
rnacentral:rRNA from 1 species